rnacentral:rRNA from 1 species
UACAGAGGUCUCAAGCGUUGUUCGGAUUCAUUGGGCGUAAAGGGUGCGUAGGCGGCGCGGUAAGUCAGGUGUGAAAUUUCGGAGCUUAACUCCGAAACUGCAUUUGAUACUGGCGUGCUUGAGGACUGGAGAGGAGACUGGAAUUCAUGGUGUAGCAGUGAAAUGCGUAGAGAUCAUGAGGAAGACCAGUGGCGAAGGCGGGUCUCUGGACAGUUCCUGACACUGAGGCACGAAGGCCAGGGGAGCAAACGGG